ACUUCACCGUUCGAUACUGGUUGCAGGUACUCUUCGGGUACUGCAUUAAAAGGGAAUCCGGUGUAAGUCCGGAACUAUCCCCGUAGCUGUAAGCUCCUUUCGUGUUGUUUCUGCUCCAUGCCACUGCCCUUAACGGGUGGGAAGGCCGGGAACAACGGAGUAAGUCAGAAGACCUGCCAGUCAUCAUUUUAGUAA
rnacentral:ncRNA from 1 species